rnacentral:tRNA from 1 species
GCCCGGAUGGUGAAAUUGGUAGACACAAGGGACUUAAAAUCCCUCGGCGCAAGCCGUGCCGGUUCGAGUCCGGCUCCGGGCACCA